GUUACCCCUUAUCGAAUCCGCUUCGGCCUACUGUCCCAGCUGAGUUGGUUAAUGAACCAAAAGCAUAUUUUACUGGCUGUUCGGUUUCUUGUAUCUUAUCAGCAACAAUUUGGGUGAGGACAUUA
ensembl:snoRNA